rnacentral:rRNA from 1 species
CCUGCUUCCAGGAAAAGCCUCUAAGCAUCAGGUAACAUCAAAUCGUACCCCAAACCGACACAGGUGGUCAGGUAGAGAAUACCAAGGCGCUUGAGAGAACUCGGGUGAAGGAACUAGGCAAAAUGGUGCCGUAACUUCGGGAGAAGGCACGCUGAUAUGUAGGUGAAGUCCCUCGCGGAUGGAGCUGAAAUCAGUCGAAGAUACCAGCUGGCUGCAACUGUUUAUUAAAAACACAGCACUGUGCAAACACGAAAGUGGACGUAUACGGUGUGACGCCUGCCCGGUGCCGGAAGGUUAAUUGAUGGGGUUAGCGCAAGCGAAGCUCUUGAUCGAAGCCCCGGUAAACGGCGGCCGUAACUAUAACGGUCCUAAGGUAGCGAAAUUCCUUGUCGGGUAAGUUCCGACCUGCACGAAUGGCGUAAUGAUGGCCAGGCUGUCUCCACCCGAGACUCAGUGAAAUUGAACUCGCUGUGAAGAUGCAGUGUACCCGCGGCAAGACGGAAAGACCCCGUGAACCUUUACUAUAGCUUGACACUGAACAUUGAGCCUUGAUGUGUAGGAUAGGUGGGAGGCUUUGAAGUGUGGACGCCAGUCUGCAUGGAGCCGACCUUGAAAUACCACCCUUUAAUGUUUGAUGUUCUAACGUUGACCCGUAAUCCGGGUUGCGGACAGUGUCUGGUGGGUAGUUUGACUGGGGCGGUCUCCUCCUAAAGAGUAACGGAGGAGCACGAAGGUUGGCUAAUCCUGGUCGGACAUCAGGAGGUUAGUGCAAUGGCAUAAGCCAGCUUGACUGCGAGCGUGACGGCGCGAGCAGGUGCGAAAGCAGGUCAUAGUGAUCCGGUGGUUCUGAAUGGAAGGGCCAUCGCUCAACGGAUAAAAGGUACUCCGGGGAUAACAGGCUGAUACCGCCCAAGAGUUCAUAUCGACGGCGGUGUUUGGCACCUCGAUGUCGGCUCAUCACAUCCUGGGGCUGAAGUAGGUCCCAAGGGUAUGGCUGUUCGCCAUUUAAAGUGGUACGCGAGCUGGGUUUAGAACGUCGUGAGACAGUUCGGUCCCUAUCUGCCGUGGGCGCUGGAGAACUGAGGGGGGCUGCUCCUAGUACGAGAGGACCGGAGUGGACGCAUCACUGGUGUUCGGGUUGUCAUGCCAAUGGCACUGCCCGGUAGCUAAAUGCGGAAGAGAUAAGUGCUGAAAGCAUCUAAGCACGAAACUUGCCCCGAGAUGAGUUCUCCCUGACUCCUUGAGAGUCCUGAAGGAACGUUGAAGACGACGACGUUGAUAGGCCGGGUGUGUAAGCGCAGCGAUGCGUUGAGCUAACCGGUACUAAUGAACCGUGAGGCUUAACCUU